UUUUCCUGGCUUUCUUGGCAGAACUUGUGGUUAUAUACCUUUUAGUCCCCAGCCAGAGUUGUUGGUUUUCUACCUGAUAGUCGGUAGUCGCAAAUCCUAAUUCCCUACUCUCCAACAGAGUUUGUGGUCUGUUAUAAACCUCAUUUUUGGUUUCUCGUGCGGAUUCAUGAUUUAUUCUAUCCCCACGCAGAGUUUUUGGUUUUCUACCCCGUAUUCGGUAGAUGUAAACCCUAAUUUGUG
rnacentral:lncRNA from 1 species